rnacentral:lncRNA from 1 species
UUGUGUUUGAGUAAGCAUAGACAAUAAUUAUUGGACACAAUGCCACCAUAAUAAAUGUAAGACAAAUAAAUGCCACUCAAAAUAUAUUUCUCAUUAAAAAUUCACUAUUUCCUUCUUUUCGAAAAUUAAUAUCCACUUUCACUUUUUUCUGAAUCAAACAAAAAUAACUUUAAUCAUUAUCUAUUACAAUUUUAUUAAUAAUUAAAAUUUUAAAAAUUAAGGUUUUAAAAAUUUUUCUCUAUCCAAUUGUAUAACAUUCUGGUUACACUAGUUCUUUCACUCGUAAAAGAAAAAGACUCAUCUUGAUCCAAACUUACUUUAAUGUUACAUUAGCUCUUUCACUCAUAGAAGGAGGGGAUCACUUUACUCUGAAUCUACCUCGACUUUGAUAAUUCUCAUGAGACGUCACCCAUUAAUAAAGAGUUGAGUAUUUACCUAUGCUGUGGUGUCAGUUUUUUUAUAUUUACUUCUACUGCAGGAGGUAUUCUCUGCCUCCAUCUCCUAAUUCUGAGCUUGGGUACCGCGGCAUCUUUUUUGUCCACUGCAGGCUUGUACAAAGAGAGGGUAUGCCCUCUUUUAGUUGUCUUUCCUUCUUGAUUAAUGAAAUAUUUAUUACAAUUUAAAAAAAAUAAAUAAAUAAUUGAGUAAAUUCUAAUAUUAUCUAUCACGAAUCAAUAUUUUUAAUUAAAAAAAUAUAUCUAUAAGGUGAAAAAAUUAUUUUAUCUUUUAAACGUAGCAAUGAGGGGUCCGGUGCUAUUGCUCGUCGGACAGGAAACUAAUUAAUUCUGCAUGCCAGUUUAUUUAGUCCCCCGGAGGGUGAACGUGUUGCACAUAUCAUUGGAAGUAGACAUGUAACGUGGUGUAUCGGCCACCAUACGUUAUUGGAUGGAUAUUUUAAUCUUUUUAAUAAAUUGUCUCCUUGUCGACAGUGUACAUUUUGUUCUUCUUCCUGCAAAGAGAUGUAGGAAUAAUACAAAGAAAGCAAGAGUUACAAGGUAAGAACCGAGGCUAUGUUAAGCAGAUUCAAGCAGCGUUCUUACCUGGGCCUAGCCAGGAAGAUACGUCGAUCGAGGAGCUGGAAAAAUAGAGACCCGUCAGGUUGUUACCAACACGUGACAUCUUUUGUCUAUUAUACCAACGUACAUGCAUUAUUGAUAUGCACAGUGUACUGGAACCCAAGAGAAGACUGAAAUUGUUCACUUUCACUCAUUUGCAUUGUCAUGGCGACUGCUAUGAGUAGCCUUUGUUCUUUCUCUUCUGUGUUGGGCUUUUCUUACACUCAGCCAAUUUGUUUCUUAUGAGCUUAUCUCUUCCAUGUCCUUGCAAUCUCGUUUCAGCCAAUACCUUCCCAUAUUAAUAAUCUUUCCAAGAUUACAUCACGGGAAUUCAUCUAGAGCGAGCGUUUUAAUUCCAUAUGAAGUUCACGAAUUAACAAAAUUAAAUCAAAUUUGUUUAUAAAUAUUAAUUAAUAAAUUUGUUCGGAAGCUUGGGUCCCCUCUAUAAAUUAUUUUUUUAAUUAAUCAAUCUUGAUUGAGGAAUUAGUCUCAACUUCUUUUUCUUCAAUGACCAAUAUCUCCUACGCAUUGGCCCCCAACAGAGAUUAGGACGAUGACAAUGACUUAACUUGUACAUGCAAUAAUGCAUAUAAACAGCUCCCUUAGUGCUUUCUAAAUAUAAUAUACACGGCAUCAUGCUUUCUUAAACUAUCAACUUACUUUAUUAAAAAUCAUUUGAUGGUUAUAUAGAAAAUUUAAAGUGAAUCUCUCUCUUUUUUCUUUUGUACAAAUUAAUAUUAAAUUUUACUUUUGUAAAACAAAAAGAAAGGUUUUUUUAUACUAAAGAAGAUAACUUACUUUUAUUUUGCAAACCGCGUUCAAAUUAUAUUAAAUCUCAAAUUUCAACGUUACUUUUUUUUUCUUAAAAGCGUUGUAGUUCAUAGUAAUUGAUUAAUCAAGAUUUAUAUUGAAAAUGUCUAUUAAGUCUCUAAUCUUUAAAUUGUAAGUAAAAGAUUGAAUAGCGUAUAACUCAUCCUAUCUUGAUGUACAUAAAUUUCAAUUUAUGAAAAUAAAAGUUUAUUAUACCUUAUAUAAUCUAACAAUUUAUGGUAAUCGAUAAAAACCAAGUAGUACAUCCUGAUCUCAAAAUUAUUCUCGAGAUCUCUCCAAUUUGACACCCAUAACAUCUCUAUAUCAUCAAAUCCCACAAAAGUCGACAAGCUAGUAAUAAACAUAUAAUGAGACGUGCAAAAUAAAAAUACAAUCAAACGUACAAAGAAAAGUUUCCCCUUAGUUUUUUGGGGCCCACGAGAGGCAGCAGAGAUGAGCACAUACAAUUUUACCACUAUCCUCAAACCAGAGGAGUUGUAAUUUUCUUUUUGAUUGACAACUUUGAAAUGCUCCCAUAUGUUGAUGGAAUUGCUUUACAACUCAUAAAAUAGCAUUGAUAACGAAAGAGACAAAUUAAAUUAAUCCUGGAUCUAAUUCAAAGCAAAAUAAAUCAACAUAUAAUGAAAAUUUUCAAUAUAAAUUGAUCAAGCUCUCACUCGACAAGAUCUUAAAUUUUGUUUCUAAAGAUUUUAUUGUUUGAGAUAUUACAAUAAAGAUGAAAAUUCAAAUCUCACUUCUAUUUUAUACAUAAUGAAAAAACAAAUGAUCAAAACAGAAUAAAUAUAUCAAAAAGAAACAAAGAAGAGCUAAUUUAAUUAGCAAAUCAGUGAGACGGAAACCUGUGAGAAAUCAGGCGCUGGAGAAGAUAAAAGCUUAGUUGAAUGUUUUAUUGUUUUUGCUAUGCAAGCUUACAUGGAUUUAUAGUUACGAUUUGUUCUUGUAGUACAUAAACUGAAGUACAAGCUCUUGUACUGCAUGCUCUUCUCUUGCUUUUUAUUUUUCUUUUAAGACUAAAUUGCGAUGGGU